rnacentral:rRNA from 1 species
GUGUCAGCCGCCGCGGUAAUACGGAGGGUGCGAGCGUUAAUAGGAAUUACUGGGCGUAAAGCGCAUGCAGGUGGUGGUUUGUUAAGUCAGAUGUGAAAGCCCGGGGCUCAACCUCGGAAUUGCAUUUGAAACUGGCAGGCUAGAGUACUGUAGAGGGGGGUAGAAUUUCAGGUGUAGCGGUGAAAUGCGUAGAGAUCUGAAGGAAUACCGGUGGCGAAGGCGGCCCCCUGGACAGAUACUGACACUCAGAUGCGAAAGCGUGGGGAGCAAACAGGAUUAGAUACCCCUGUAGUCC